CACCGAUCAACUACUAGAAGAAUUGGAUCCCCAAUGUUUAAGAUUGCAAUACGUGUCGGAAACAUUGGAAAACCCUCCUUGUGAUCAUGAAAAGGAGCAAAAACUGGAAACCGAGAGAGAACUAGAAAAGAAGCGAGAACCGGAAAAGAUGCAAGAACUG